CCUACGGGAGGCAGCAGUGAGGAAUAUUGGUCAAUGGACGAGAGUCUGAACCAGCCAAGUAGCGUGAAGGAUGACGGCUCUAUGGUUUGUAAACUUCUUUUAUAUGGGAAUAAAGUGUUCCACGUGUGGGAUUUUGUAUGUACCAUAUGAAUAAGCAUCGGCUAACUCCGUGCCAGCAGCCGCGGUAAUACGGAGGAUGCGAGCGUUAUCCGGAUUUAUUGGGUUUAAAGGGUGCGUAGGUUGAUUGUUAAGUCAGUUGUGAAAGUUUGUGGCUCAACCGUAAAAUUGCAGUUGAAACUGGCAGUCUUGAGUACAGUAGAGGUAGGCGGAAUGCGUGGUGUAGCGGUGAAAUGCUUAGAUAUCACGAAGAACUCCGAUUGCGAAGGCAGUUCACUGAGCUGCAACUGACACUGAGGCUCGAAAGUGUGGGUAUCAAACAGGAUUAGAUACCCUUGUAGUC
rnacentral:rRNA from 1 species